GAAAUGCGAUAAUUAAUGUGAAUUGCAGAAUUCAGUGAAUCAUCGAGUCUUUGAACGCACAUUGCGCCCCCUGGUAUUCCGGGGGGCAUGCCUGUCCGAGCGUCAUUGCUGCCCUCAAGUACGGCUUGUGUGUUGGGCUUCCGUCCCUGGCAACGGGGACGGGCCCAAAAGGCAGUGGCGGCACCAUGUCUGGUCCUCGAGCGUAUGGGGCUUUGUCACCCGCUCCCGUAGGUCCAGCUGGCAGCUAGCCUCGCAACCAAUCUUUUUAACCAGGUUGACCUCGGAUCAGGUAGGGAUACCCGCUGAACUUAAGC
rnacentral:misc_RNA from 1 species